rnacentral:rRNA from 1 species
AACGCUAGCUACAGGCUUAACACAUGCAAGUUGAGGGGCAGCAUGGUCUUAGCUUGCUAAGGCCGAUGGCGACCGGCGCACGGGUGAGUAACACGUAUCCAACCUGCCGUCUACUCUUGGACAGCCUUCCGAAAGGAAGAUUAAUACAAGAUGGCAUCAUGAGUCCGCAUGUUCACAUGAUUAAAGGUAUUCCGGUAGACGAUGGGGAUGCGUUCCAUUAGAUAGUAGGCGGGGUAACGGCCCACCUAGUCUUCGAUGGAUAGGGGUUCUGAGAGGAAGGUCCCCCACAUUGGAACUGAGACACGGUCCAAACUCCUACGGGAGGCAGCAGUGAGGAAUAUUGGUCAAUGGGCGAGAGCCUGAACCAGCCAAGUAGCGUGAAGGAUGACUGCCCUAUGGGUUGUAAACUUCUUUUAUAAAGGAAUAAAGUCGGGUAUGUAUACCCGUUUGCAUGUACUUUAUGAAUAAGGAUCGGCUAACUCCGUGCCAGCAGCCGCGGUAAUACGGAGGAUCCGAGCGUUAUCCGGAUUUAUUGGGUUUAAAGGGAGCGUAGAUGGAUGUUUAAGUCAGUUGUGAAAGUUUGCGGCUCAACCGUAAAAUUGCAGUUGAUACUGGAUAUCUUGAGUGCAGUUGAGGCAGGCGGAAUUCGUGGUGUAGCGGUGAAAUGCUUAGAUAUCACGAAGAACUCCGAUUG